rnacentral:rRNA from 1 species
UACAGAGGGUGCAAGCGUUGUUCGGAAUCAUUGGGCGUAAAGCGCGAGUAGGCGGCCCACUAAGUCUGAUGUGAAAGCCCGGGGCUCAACCCCGGAAGUGCAUUGGAUACUGGAGGGCUAGAGGGUGAAAGAGGAGAGUGGAAUUCAUGGUGUAGGGGUGAAAUCCGUAGAUAUCAUGAGGAACAUCAGUGGCGAAGGCGGCUCUCUGGUUCAUUUCUGACGCUCAGACGCGAAAGCAUGGGGAGCAAACAGG